CACUCUCACUUAGAAUUCGUUUCUUUACAAAAGUGCAAUUCAAUCAUUUCCCUGUACCUCGGUUUGUGCUUUGUACACGAUGAUGUAGAGACCAGAGCGAUGUGUGGAAGGGAAUAUGCAAUGAUAAUUGGGGUUGUGUGGAAGGGAAUAUGCAAUGAUAAUUGGGGUUGUGUGGAAGGGAAUAUGCAAUGAUAAUUGGGGUUGUGUAAAACAUUUUGAAAUCCGAAAUUAUGGUCUUACUGGUGUAUUUACCCGCAAGAUGGCAAGUCAAGCUUAUUCUGCAGCUCUAACCUUGCAUCAACUUGGGUUUUGUACAGAUAUUCAUUCAUUGCCGAAGCUCACACCCAGUGCGCAUCGUAGCCUGAACGAACAAACCCCAGAGCUCUUGAAGACGACGACAGGAGGACACAAACAUCGAAUAAUCUUCCAGCUUUGGAGAAGUGGCUUUGUUAGAAGAGGAGCGGAGGAGACUAACAUAUGAGCAACUCAAGCCUCGACAUUGCUGUAAUGUAUCUGCCGUAAUUCGUUGUUAUGUUCGUACUGUCAGAAGCUUGUACACGGUCUGUACCACAGUUUAUUUGUUUAUUUUAUUGGAGAUCAGGCGAUACCUGGAAUUGCUUCUCAUCGCCACCAAUUGUUGCUUCAAGAUCUUGUGGCUUGUUUUGUGAACCUUCUCCAAUGAAUGAAUGGCAUUCGGCAUUCCUAGCUUCCAACCCACUCCUCACUACCUACGUGCUCAAGGGCUUAGAAGGAUUGCUGAACACGAUUUUGACUUGGGUGUUGGAUCAUAUCACUCUGCCCCGUGCAAGCAAGCUCUGUUGUACCAGUUAAGGAAAUGAGACUCACCAAAAUGCCGUGCUCGCUAGAUCUCGUGGCCGUGCAUCACGUCUCCCGACAAAUGCUCUUGUCAUGACCACCCAAGUUUCCUCGACACUGCCCCAUAUUGCUUGUAAAUCAAAUUACCGCAGUGGCUGCCCUAAAUAAAGCUCAGUUCGCUCUGAUACCACAUUCAUGCCCAGUGAACUAGCCGAUUCGAAAGCAAGAGCUCUAUUCAAGUGGCAGUCGAUGGGACUUCGGGCAUGCUCCUACAGUGCAGAUUUUAGGAAUCUGUGACGAUGAUUCCGAUGAAUCAGCGUCGCUUCAUUGGACUCCUCGCUUGUUUAGUUGUCAUAUAUGUCCGACGAGACAACUUUCACUGCAACGCACAGGGGGAGUGUGCUCAGAGCAUUCUUGGCGAUGAUGAUAAUGAUUAUUCAGAUUACGUCGAUGAUCUAGAGAACAAUGAUUUUGAACAUAAGCUACAACAAUUGCAACUCGUGCUGUCGAACGCAUUAGAAUUGCGGGAUGAAAGAUAUCUCUUUAACGGAGGACCAUGGAAGUUGGACCGUGGCGUUCUUAUGAACAGGUUGGAUGAUGAAUUCGUUGGGUACACGGAACGGUUCAAUGUGCUUCUUGAUGGAGCCGUGGGGGAUGGCAUCACCAAUGAUACCAAUGCAUUUCUCGCAGCUUGGAAUAAGGCUUGCGAUGCUAGGAAUGGCGAGGUGUAUGUACCAUCUGGGUACACAUUCCUGGUGUACCCAUCCACAUUCUCAGGACCUUGCCGCUGCAACAUUCGAUUCGCGGUUGAAGGGACAAUUGUCGCUCCGGAGGAGAUAAGUGCUUGGGACGGCCUCAACGUCCGCUACUGGCUUCUGUUUAUCCAUCUGGACUACUUCACACUCAAGGGGAGUGGUACAUUCAACGGCCGUGGCUACAAUUGGUGGGUGUGUAAAGAAGACAAAACAUGUGAGAGGGCUCCAACAACUGUGACGGUGCUCAAAAGCAGCCAUGUGACAGUGAGGACUGUGACAUUCGUCGACGCUCCUCAGGUGCACAUCAACUUCCAGGACAUCACUGAGGGCCACGUCAAAGGGAUCACAGUCCUGGCGCCUUGGUCGAGUCCCAACACGGACGGCAUCCACAUUUCCGGCACUACCGAUUUUGUCGUCCGGAACUGUUAUGUUGCCACUGGUGACGAUUGUGUGUCGAUAGUGAGUGGGUCUCGCAACAUCGGCGUCUACGAUACAUACUGUGGGAUUGGCUGCCAUGGCAUCAGUGUAGGAAGUUUGGGAUACAACGGGCAGCAUGCAAACGUAACGCAGGUGCAAGUGAAGAACUGUCAGCUAGAUAGCACCACGAACGGACUGCGAAUCAAGACAUGGCAGGGAGGCACAGGAAUCGCGUCCAAUAUUGACUUCCGCAACAUCAAAAUGAGCAACGUAAGCAACCCCAUCAUCAUCGAUCAGUUCUACUGCCCACCGAGUCAAACAGAAGAACCGUGCUCCAACCUAUGGUGGGUUGUUGUUGUUGUUAUUAUUGUUGCCGCCACGCAGUCGACCGCGGUGCACAUUGAUCUCGUGAAGUUCACCAACAUCACCGGCACGUCGGCAUCGGCCACGGCGGUGAAGCUGGCGUGCAGCGACGCAGAGCCGUGCACAAACAUCCGCAUGAAGGAUAUCAAUCUGACGAGAAUGGACGGCAACACUGCGCGCGCCGUGUGCUCCAACGCGGUGGGCGUGGCGAUGGGGGUGCAGAUUCCGCCGACCUGCCUCACCGUCAACGCAUCCGCGUUGUCGUCGAUGCCCGUGCAGCUUUGCCUUCACAGCCUCCGCCUCCUGCGCCAGCUCUGGGACGUCGCCUUCCCGUAGGGAGAAAAAAAAAAAAAAAAAAAAAAAAAAAUCCAUCCAUCCACCGAUUUCAUUCAUCUACGUAGGCGUGAUUGGAAUAUGGAAUAAAUUUACAGGGUCUUCCUCGAUUGAAUAGUGUGCAUUGAAAUGAUUUAUUAUUUUUUAUAGUUUUGUUUCAGCUGAUUAUUUUUAUUUUUAUUUUUAUAAAAAAAUGGUUACUUUA